CCUACGGGUGGCAGCAGUGAGGAAUAUUGGGCAAUGGAGGCAACUCUGACCCAGCCAUGCCGCGUGAGUGAAGAAGGUUUUCGGAUUGUAAAGCUCUUUCGGAUGUGACGAUGAUGACGGUAGCAUCUAAAGAAGCCCCGGCUAACUUCGUGCCAGCAGCCGCGGUAAUACGAAGGGGGCAAGCGUUGUUCGGAAUUACUGGGCGUAAAGGGAGUGUAGGCGGUUUAGUAAGAUAGUGGUGAAAUCCCAGGGCUUAACUUUGGAAUUGCCAUUAUAACUAUUAGACUAGAAUUACAGAGAGGAUAGUGGAAUACCCAGUGUAGAGGUGAAAUUCGUAGAUAUUGGGUAGAACACCAGUGGCGAAGGCAGCCUACUAAACUGCCACUGACAUUGAUGCUCGAAAGUGUGGGUAUCAAACAGGAUUAGAUACCCGAGUAGUC
rnacentral:rRNA from 1 species